GACGGAGGAUGCAAGUGUUAUCCGGAAUCACUGGGCGUAAAGCGUCUGUAGGUGGUUUAAAAAGUCCACUGUUAAAAAUUGAAGCUUAACUUCAAAGAUGCCGUAGAAACUUUUAAACUUGAGUAUGGUAGGGGUAGAGGGAAUUUCCAGUGGAGCGGUGAAAUGCGUAGAUAUUGGAAAGACCACCAAUGGCGAAGGCACUCUACUGGGCCAUUACUGACACUGAGAGACGAAAGCUAGGGGAGCAAACGGG
rnacentral:rRNA from 1 species